rnacentral:sRNA from 1 species
AGCUGAUGCACAUGGUGGCUCCCUCCCAGUUCCACCGCAGCAGCUGUUCCCCUCUGGAGGUUUAUUGACCUUCAUAACUUGCAAGGGCCUUGGAGCAAUCCGGAGGCCCUUUUUU